rnacentral:lncRNA from 1 species
GGGGAAAUAUAAUAAAUAUUUUUUUUUUUUUUUUUUUGUUUCCUUUCAAACCCUUUUAAAUAUUUCAACAAUAUUAAUAAUAAUUCCAUCAUUUUUUCUAUUUCAAAUGUCGUAUAAUAACAAAAAGUUCUAAAUAUGAUGAAAAAAAUAUAUUGAAAAAAGAUUGCUUAUAUAAAAUAAAAAUAUAACAACAAGGGCUUAUAAUUUAUCCACACAAAAAAAAAAAAAAAAAAAAAAAAGCCACUCCUGUGGGUCACCUCUAGUUUUCAGUUUGUACAAUCUAUUGUUCAAGCCUAAAAAUAUACAAAAACAACCAAAAUCCACAAAAACUCACCAAAUUUUCUUAAUACAUUUGUACUUAAGGUAAAUUUAGCCCGCCCGAUUUGCAAUUCCUGGAUCCGUCCCUGUCCACCACCAAUAUCUCAUCCCUUGACAUCGCCGCCAAGGGUGCUAGCUGCCGUUCACCAACAGUCGUCUCCGUCGCCGUCACUAUUUUUGUGACCCCACGAGUGGCAAUUCCUGCAUCCGCGGCAUAAGAACUGUGAGUAAAAAUCGAGAGGCACCUCUUAAUAAUAAGAUAGGACUAUCUCUAACAGUUGAUAAAGAUAUCCACAUCAGUAAUUCCAAAUGAAUUUUUAUGCUAGGACUUACGUUUAAACACAAAUUAUAAAAUGAACCAGUAGAAGAUUUGGUGGUAAUUAAGUAGCAACUAUAGAGUAAUCGAAAACUAUACCUUCCCAUCAUCAUAUUUAG